GUCGAGCGGUAACAGAUUGAUAGCUUGCUAUCAAUGCUGACGAGCGGCGGACGGGUGAGUAAUGCCUGGGAAUAUGCCCUGAUGUGGGGGAUAACUAUUGGAAACGAUAGCUAAUACCGCAUAAUCUCUUCGGAGCAAAGAGGGGGACCUUCGGGCCUCUCGCGUCAGGAUUAGCCCAGGUGGGAUUAGCUUGUUGGUGGGGUAAUGGCUCACCAAGGCAACGAUCCCUAGCUGGUCUGAGAGGAUGAUCAGCCACACUGGAACUGAGACACGGUCCAGACUCCUACGGGAGGCAGCAGUGGGGAAUAUUGCACAAUGGGGGAAACCCUGAUGCAGCCAUGCCGCGUGUAUGAAGAAGGCCUUCGGGUUGUAAAGUACUUUCAGUUGUGAGGAAGGCGUUGAAGUUAAUAGCUUCAGCGUUUGACGUUAGCAACAGAAGAAGCACCGGCUAACUCCGUGCCAGCAGCCGCGGUAAUACGGAGGGUGCGAGCGUUAAUCGGAAUUACUGGGCGUAAAGCGCAUGCAGGUGGUUUGUUAAGCAAGAUGUGAAAGCCCGGGGCUCAACCUCGGAACAGCAUUUUGAACUGGCAGACUAGAGUACUGUAG
rnacentral:rRNA from 1 species